rnacentral:snRNA from 1 species
AUACAUUGCCAACGCGCGUCAAAGUGCAGUGUCUGUUAUCUGCCUAAUAUCUGAUGCGGGUAGUAUUUGGACCUAAGAUAUUAAAGUUACUUUUGCAACUUGGCGGAGUGCUUGAAGCCUGCUUUACCUCCGCCGCGGGUCGGCCGGUAUUGCACUAUCUUCGGAAUUUUUGUUCUAUAGGCA